CAUCUUGUCACGAAGAGGGUGGUCGAAGGCUUCGGAGUUGGUGAAGGAGGGGCUUCGUUGGAGAUCUUGGAGCUCUCGAACAGCGCCGCCGCUGGGAAAGUGAAGUUGGAGCUGUGGAAUGAUGUGAUGGAGGAGGAGUACCCGAGAAGGAACUAUUUAUAGGACAAAACGGGCAAGGGCAAGUCUGACUUAUCUCUUCGCCGUAUCCGUGAAAUCCGAGGGUACUCAGGUAGAUGUGAUAACUGUUCGCACGGUAAUCAAUGGAUUGUGCAGGCGAUUUGACAGGAAGCGGUCAUUAUCCAGAGAUAUUUUACUGUGCGAG
rnacentral:lncRNA from 1 species